UUAAGGAAUAUUGGGCAAUGGGCGAAAGCCUGACCCAGCCAUGCCGCGUGCAGGAUGACGAUCUUACGGAUUGUAAACUGCUUUUAUAUAGGAAGAAAAUACUCUUGCGAGAGUAACUGACGGUACUAUAAGAAUAAGGACCGGCUAACUCCGUGCCAGCAGCCGCGGUAAUACGGAGGGUCCAAGCGUUGUCCGGAUUUAUUGGGUUUAAAGAGUGCGUAGGUGGUUUAUUAAGUCAGUGGUGAAAUCCUGCAGCUCAACUGUAGAACUGCCAUUGAUACUGAUAAACUUGAGUUUGGUUUAGGUAAGUGGAAUUUAUGAUGUAGCGGUGAAAUGCAUAGAUAUCAUAAGGAACACCAAUAGCGAAGGCAGCUUACUGGACCAUAACUGACACUGAGGCACGAAAGCGUGGGUAGCGAACAGG
rnacentral:rRNA from 1 species